AGCGAACGCUGGCGGCAGGCCUAACACAUGCAAGUCGAACGAACUCUUCGGAGUUAGUGGCGGACGGGUGAGUAACACGUGGGAACGUGCCUUUAGGUUCGGAAUAACUCAGGGAAACUUGUGCUAAUACCGAAUGUGCCCUUCGGGGGAAAGAUUUAUCGCCUUUAGAGCGGCCCGCGUCUGAUUAGCUAGUUGGUGAGGUAAUGGCUCACCAAGGCUACGAUCAGUAGCUGGUCUGAGAGGAUGACCAGCCACAUUGGGACUGAGACACGGCCCAAACUCCUACGGGAGGCAGCAGUGGGGAAUCUUGCGCAAUGGGCGAAAGCUUGACGCAGCCAUGCCGCGUGGAUGAUGAAGGUCUUAGGAUUGUAAAAUCCUUUCACCGGUGAAGAUAAUGACUGUAGCCGGAGAAGAAGCCCCGGCUAACUUCGUGCCAGCCGCCGCCGUAAUAC
rnacentral:rRNA from 1 species